GUUGGCCUCCAGGUGGCCGCGGUCUACCGGAGAGCCCAAGAUGGCCGCCGAUGAGGUCGUGGCGGCGUCCGUUGUCGCCAAGAUGGCCGACGUCGACGUCGCGGCGGUGUCUGUUGGCCCCAAGAGGGCUGCCGUCGACGUCACGGUGGUGUCCGUUGCCUCCAAGAUGGCCGACGUUGACGUCACGGCGGUGUCCGUUGCCGCCAAGAUGGCCGACGCCGCGGCGGGGGCGGGCUCUGGCUCCAAGAUGGCCGCCGAUGACGUCACGGCGGGGUCCGUUCCCUCCAAGAUGGCCGCCGAUGACGUCACGGUGGUGUCCGUUGCCCCCAAGAUGGCCGCUGAUGAUGUUGCGGUGCUCUCCAGCCCCUCAUUGGCUGGCCUCGGCUCCAAGAUGGCCGCCGCGGAGGCUGCACCAUCCUCAUUGGUCUCCGUUGGCCUCCCAUUGGCUCCUGGCUCCUCAUCGGCCUCCGUCGACGUCCCGUUGGCCUCCGUUGACUUCCUGUUGGCUCCUGGCUCCUCAUUGGCCGCCGUUGACCCCGGGCUGGCCUCCAUUGGCCUCCCGCAGCCUUCUGACGCCUCAUUGGCUGCCGGUGACCUCCCGGCGGCCUCCGCUGACCCUAAAUUGGCCUCCGUUGACCCCUCGUUGGCCUCUGUCGACCUCCCGCUGGCCUCCAUCGACCUCACGUUGGCCGCCGUUGACCCCGAGGUGGCCACCGUCGACUUCCUGUCCCUUCCUGCCACCUCAUUGGCUGCCGUUGACCCUAAACUGGCCGCCGUUGGCCUCACCUUGGCCUCCGCUGGCCCCUCGUUGGCCUCCGUCGACCUCCUGCCAGCCUCCGUCGACCUCCCGCCGGCCUCCGUUGACCUCACGUUGGCCGCCGUUGACCUCACGUUGGCCGCCAUUGACCCCAAGAUGGCCGCUGUCGACUUCCUGCCUCCUCCCGCCUCCUCAUUGGCCGCCGUUGACCCCGUACUGGCCUCUGCUGACCCCUCGUUGGCCUCCGUUGACCCUAAAUUGGCCUCCGUCGACCUCCUGAUGGCCUCCGUUGACCUCACGUUGGCCGCCGUUGACCCCAAGAUGGCCGCCGUUGACUUCCUGUCCCCUCCUGGCUCCUCAUUGGCCGCCGUUGACCCCUCGUUGGCCUCCGCUGACCCCUCGUUGGCCUCCGUCGACCUCCCGCCGGCCUCCGUUGACCUCACGUUGGCCGCCGUUGACCCCAAGAUGGCCGCCGUUGACCCCAAGAUGGCCGCCGUCCACUUCCUGUCCCCUCCCGGCUCCUCAUUGGCCGCCGCCGACCCCCCGCGGGCCUCCGCUGACCUCACCUUGACCUCCGCCGACCUCGCCUCGGCCUCCGCCGACCUCCCGCCGGCCUCCGGCGACCCCAAGAUGGCCGCCGCCGCCCCCCGGCAGCCUCCCAGCUCCUCAUUGGCCGGCUCCGCCGACCCCCCGCAGCAUCGCGGCCCCUCAUUGGCCGCCGCCUCCUCCUCCUCCGGCCUCCCGCGGCCUCCCGGGGCCUCGCCGGCCUCCCCUGCCCGGGCCGGAGCCCCCUGAUUGGGCGCCGCCCGCGGCCCCGCCGCCACCCCAUUGGCCAGCGGCCUCCGCGGGGGGCCGGCGGCCAUCUUGGGCC
ensembl:lncRNA